AAAUACUCCUGACUGACCGAUAGUGAACCAGUACCGUGAGGGAAAGGCGAAAAGAACCCCGGCGAGGGGAGUGAAAAAGAACCUGAAACCGUGUACGUACAAGCAGUGGGAGCACCCUUUGGGGUGUGACUGCGUACCUUUUGUAUAAUGGGUCAGCGACUUAUAUUCUGUAGCAAGGUUAACCGAAUAGGGGAGCCGGAGGGAAACCGAGUCUUAACCGGGCGUUAAGUUGCAGGGUAUAGACCCGAAACCCGGUGAUCUAGCCAUGGGCAGGUUGAAGGUUGGGUAACACUAACUGGAGGACCGAACCGACUAAUGUUGAAAAAUUAGCGGAUGACCUGUGGCUGGGGGUGAAAGGCCAAUCAAACCGGGAGAUAGCUGGUUCUCCCCGAAAGCUAUUUAGGUAGCGCCUCGUGAAUUCAUCUCCGGGGGUAGAGCACUGUUUCGGCUAGGGGGCCAUCCCGGCUUACCAACCCGAUGCAAACUGCGAAUACCGGAGAAUGUUAUCACGGGAGACACACGGCGGGUGCUAACGUCCGUCGUGAAGAGGGAAACAACCCAGACCGC
rnacentral:rRNA from 1 species